GAAGGUAUGGCUCAGUGGUAGAGCACAUGCUUAGCAUGCAUGAGGUCUUGUCUUGGGUUCAAUCCCCAGUACCUCCA
rnacentral:tRNA from 1 species